rnacentral:rRNA from 1 species
GAUGAACGCUGGCGGCGUGCCUAAUACAUGCAAGUCGAGCGAACAGAUGAGGAGCUUGCUCCUCUGACGUUAGCGGCGGACGGGUGAGUAACACGUGGAUAACCUACCUAUAAGACUGGGAUAACUUCAGGAAACCGGAGCUAAUACCGGAUAAUAUAUUGAACCGCAUGGUUCAAUAGUGAAAGACGGUUUUGCUGUCACUUAUAGAUGGAUCCGCGCCGCAUUAGCUAGUUGGUAAGGUAACGGCUUACCAAGGCAACGAUGCGUAGCCGACCUGAGAGGGUGAUCGGCCACACUGGAACUGAGACACGGUCCAGACUCCUACGGGGGGCAGCAGUAGGGAAUCUUCCGCAAUGGGCGAAAGCCUGACGGAGCAACGCCGCGUGAGUGAUGAAGGUCUUCGGAUCGUAAAACUCUGUUAUUAGGGAAGAACAAAUGUGUAAGUAACUAUGCACGUCUUGACGGUACCUAAUCAGAAAGCCACGGCUAACUACGUG